AUUCCCCCACGUUUCAUUAGCAUUCAAUGAAUUAAAUUUUACUGUUAUUUUGCGCUGAAAACAAGGUGAUUAGGCGCGAAACAAAUACCAAUGCAGAUACACAGACACAUGUAUGAACAAUGAAGAGUAUUAUUCGUCAUCUUUUUAGUUAUAAUGGAAUAACAUUAAUUUAUGUGAUAUUAGUCAGUACAACAUUUACAAUUUGCUCAGCGCAUUCAACACCGCCCUGUGGCUUAUAUGGUGCGCCUCCAUGCCAGUUUCUGCCGGCACCACCCGGCCAGACGCCAUCAUGUGCCCGGCCAGGAAAAACCUACUGUGAACACAUCGACAACUAUCCAACGUAAGUCAACCA